UACGGAAGGGGCAAGCGUUGUUCGGAAUCAUUGGGCGUAAAGGGUGCGUAGGUGGCGGGGCAAGUUUGGUGUGAAAUCCCGGGGCUCAACCUCGGAACUGCACUGAAUACUGCCUUGCUAGAGCACUGGAGAGGGAACUGGAAUUUACGGUGUAGCAGUGAAAUGCGUAGAUAUCGUAAGGAAGACCAGUGGCGAAGGCGAGUCCCUGGACAAUCCCUGACACUGAGGCACGAAAGCUAGGGGAGCAAACAGG
rnacentral:rRNA from 1 species